AGUUCUUCAGGAAGCAGGAGUCUUAGAAGUCUUGUUGAGCUAAGGAACAGGGAUCAGCUUGUUGAUAAGUACAUGGUUUUUUUUCUUUCCUUGUUUUUUUUUCCAAAUCUUUGUUUUUGCUUUCCUUUUAGAAUUGUAGAUUCAAUUAAAGGGAGGGGUUAUUCUAGUGUUUAUAAUUUUGGUAUUGCAUACGAUGAGUGAGUUUUAAGAGUUAAUU
rnacentral:lncRNA from 1 species